rnacentral:rRNA from 1 species
AUGGCCAGGUUGAAGCGAGGGUAACACCUCGUGGAGGACCGAACCAACUAACGUUGAAAAGUUAGUGGAUGAGCUGUGGGUAGGGGUGAAAGGCUAAACAAAUCCGCAAAUAGCUGGUUCUCUCCGAAAACUAUUUAGGUAGUGCCUCGUGUUACACCUUCGGGGGUAGAGCACUGUUUUGGCUAGGGGGUCGUUAUAGAUCUACCAAACCAAGGCAAACUCCGAAUACCGAAGAGUGCAUUCACGGGAGACAGUGCACCGGGUGCUAACGUCCGGACACAAGAGGGAAACAACCCAGACCGCCAGCUAAGGUCCCGAAUUAUGACUAAGUGGUCAACGAAGUGAGAAGGCCCAGACAGCCAGGAGGUUGGCUUAGAAGCAGCCACCCUUUAAAGAAAGCGUAAUAGCUCACUGGUCGAGUCGUCUUGCGCGGAAGAUGUACCGGGGCUCAAGUCAUAAACCGAAGCUGCGGAUUCGAACAUCUUUGAUGUUCGAGUGGUAGGAGAGCGUUCCGUACGCCUGUGAAGGUGGAUCGUAAGGUCUGCUGGAGGUAUCGGAAGUGCGAAUGCUGACAUGAGUAGCGAUAAAGGGGGUGAAAAGCCCCCUCGCCGAAAGCCCAAGGUUUCCUGCGCAACGUUCAUCGGCGCAGGGUGAGUCGGCCCCUAAGGUGAGGGCGAAAGCCGUAACUGAUGGGAAUCUGGUUAAUAUUCCAGAACCGCCAUGUAAUGCGAUGGGGUGACGGAGAAGGUUAGGCAGACCGGGUGUUGGAUGUCCCGGUGAAGUGUGUAGGCGGAUCUCUUAGGCAAAUCCGGGAGGUCAACGCUGAGGCACGGGACCAGCGAAGCUUGUCUUCGCGAAGCUGCUGAUACCCUGCUUCCAAGAAAAGCCUCUAAGCUUCAGUUACAUGGGACCGUACCGUAAACGGACACACGUGGGCGGGAUGAGAAUUCUAAGGCGCUUGAGAGAACUCAGGAGAAGGAACUCGGCAAAUUGACACCGUAACUUCGGAAGAAGGUGUGCCCUGUUAGGGUGAAGGGACUUGCUCCCGGAGCUCGAGAGGGUUGCAGAGAAUCGGUGGCUGCGACUGUUUAUUAAAAACAUAGCACUGUGCUAACACGAAGAGUGGACGUAUACGGUGUGACGCCUGCCCGGUGCCGGAAGGUUAAG